ACUCCUACGGGAGGCAGCAGUGGGGAAUAUUGCACAAUGGGGGAAACCCUGAUGCAGCCAUGCCGCGUGUGUGAAGAAGGCCUUCGGUUGUAAAGCACUUUCAGUAGGGAGGAAGGUAGUGUAGUUAACACCUGCAUUAUUUGUACGUUACCUACAGAAGAAGCACCGGCUAACUCCGUGCCAGCAGCCGCGGUAAUACGGAGGGUGCGAGCGUUAAUCGGAAUUACUGGGCGUAAAGCGCAUGCAGGCGGCCUGUUAAGUCAGAUGUGAAAGCCCGGGGUCUUAACCUCGGAAUUGCAUUUGAAACUGGCAGGCUAGAGUCUUGUAGAGGGGUUAGAAUUUCAGGUGUAGCGUGAAAUGCGUAGAGAUCUGAAGGAAUACCAGU
rnacentral:rRNA from 1 species